AGGCAGCAGUGGGGAAUAUUGGGCAAUGGGCGCAAGCCUGACCCAGCAACGCCGCGUGAAGGAAGAAGGUCUUCGGAUUGUAAACUUCUGUCCUCAGGGAAGAAGGAAGUGACGGUACCUGAGGAGGAAGCCCCGGCUAACUAC
rnacentral:rRNA from 1 species